UCUAAUCCCUAAAACACGCAUGCAGGCGCACAUACUCAAAACCCCUCCUACUAACCUGCCUCCAUCGAUUUCUUUCUCAUUUCUCCCUUUUCUGAACUCUAAAAAAAUCGUCUGUUGGCCGUUGCGCCUCCAGCUUACUCAAUCUGCCCAUCUUUCAGAGUGUAUCAAGUCACUCUAACUCAGACCCUCUCGUCUCUCGUCAGCCUCCUCCCAUCUAACCAAAGCAGCCCUUGCAAGGCUGAGCGUUGUGCAUAGGAGUCUGAAAGUUGCCAAGUCUGGUGUCAAGAAGAGGAACAGACAAGCCUUGAAGAUCUAUGUCAAUAAUAUUGCAAGGCUACUUCAAGGAUACUAAAGAAGUCGGAGAUCGUCCACACUAUCAACCACAACUUCUCGGUAUUUUAUGAUGAAACUCGUUUGAGUUAUGGCAUGUAUAGGGAUUUAGUUAUUUUGCACGUUUGUAAUUAUGAUUUUGCUAAAGAAUGAGGUGUAAGUAUUUGAUGAUGAAUGAUUAUUAAAAAUGGUUUAAGUA